GUUGCUUUCACUUUUUUUUAUGUGUUUGCAGUGUUUAAUUGAAGAUUAUAAUUGUUUUCCCCUCGUUAUCCACUACCGCAAUUUUGAUGUUGUAUUUGGACGUCGGGAAACUAUAAUU